GUCUCGCGGAGGUUGAACUCCCGGCUCGGCGUCUCUUCGCUCCACCGUGGCAGAGUGCCCAGAGCCCGAGGGGAGGGCGGCACGAGGCCCGGCCGCGCCCAUGGCCAAACUGCCGCCGCGGGCUGGACUGACCCCGCCGGCUAAGCCCCGUCCGCCCCCCCCGGGCCGCGCGCCAGGUAGCUAUAGAGUCCACUGCCUGAAAUGGGGACCCCAGGAACAGCUGUUCCCUGCACUACAUCUACCCCUAGCAGCCCAGCGAGUACCUGAAGUCCUUGGUGGCCGUGGGGGAGAUUUGCCAGGACUGUGACAGGCCCUUACUGGGGAAACUGAAUUCUCACCUCUUGAACCAUUCUAUGAUCGAUGCUGUCCCCGAUGUUUCUCAGCUGCCUGGCCAACUUGUGGAUUGUUUCCUCCUGGUGAUGGUUCUGGCCAAUGCUAUUCUCCUUGGGCUGAGAAGGUGGGUUGUGAUCUGCAUAAGAAUUCAAAGAGAAAACUCCAUUGACUCUGUAAAUCACUCACCACUAGUCACUUAAAACUGUCUUAGACAAGGAGAGGGAUGAAAUCCCAGCAUCAUAAUGACUAUUG